GAUUUCUGAUUAGUCGCCCUGGCCCGCUGGCUUAUGUCUGUGAGUGCUGGUGCGUACUAGUCAUCCUUCUAGCUUGCCAUGCGUACCGUUUAUUCGGCCGCGCGUGUGUGAACUAGAUCUUUUACUUUGAAAAAAUUAGAGUGUUUAAAGCAGGCUUACGCCGUGAAUACAUUAGCAUGGAAUAAUAAUAUAGGACUUUGGUUCUAUUUUGUUGGUUUCUAGGACUGAAGUAAUGAUUGAUAGGGAUAGUUGGGGGUGCUAGUAUUCAGCGGCCAGAGGUGAAAUUCUUGGAUUCGCUGAAGACUAACUACUGCGAAAGCAUU
rnacentral:rRNA from 1 species